UACAGAGGUCUCAAGCGUUGUUCGGAUUCAUUGGGCGUAAAGGGUGCGUAGGUGGCGCCGUAAGUCAGGUGUGAAAUUUCGGAGCUUAACUCCGAAACUGCAUUUGAUACUGCGGUGCUUGAGGACUGGAGAGGAGACUGGAAUUUACGGUGUAGCAGUGAAAUGCGUAGAGAUCGUAAGGAAGACCAGUGGCGAAGGCGGGUCUCUGGACAGUUCCUGACCACUGAGGCACGAAGGCCAGGGGAGCAAACGGG
rnacentral:rRNA from 1 species